GUUAUUCCCACAUGCACCUUCCUCUGCAUGCCUCAUGCCCAUCUGUGUAGGAUUAAAAAUGCAGAUGGCUGCAGGUGAUGGCCAUGAGGACCCUCACAGGCUUAGAUUGCCCUGACCAUUUACCUCAGCUGGGACUGGGACCACACCCUCCAGCCAGGGGCUCUUCUUCAGCUCCAUCCAGGACCUUCAGCAUUUUUAAGGUGGACUACAAGAGUGGCUGCCUCUAGUCCUGCUCCUGAGUUGUUGCAGGGAUUCCUUGGGCUGCCUUCUGACAUGAGCUGUGUCAUGCCUGAUGUUCACUUGGGUGACUCAUGACUACCCUGCUUCAUUCACAGACUGUUCCUGCCUCUGUGCAGCACUUCCUCCUCAUUUGCAGUACCUCUGGCUUUCUGGCUGACCACUUAUUUCCAGGAGCUGCACCUCCAGAUGUACAGACAGCUCUGUCUUUCACCUCUACAUCCUCCCAUAUGCCGAGUUUAAGCAAACACAGAAGACUACAAAGAGAAGUCAACUGGCUGUCCAAGCUGUGACAAGUUCAAUCUCACCUCCAGCCUCCACUGUGUUUUCAUCUGUUCCCCCUGCUUGGCGCUGUUGCCUCUGCUUCAGAUCAUCAUCCUACAGGAUCUUCUUUGGAUCAGCACCCAGCCAAGUUUAGGGCAUCAUAAUGAAAGGCAUGGUCUAUCACAAAUAUUGUUUCUGGCCUGUAGUGUCAUCAGGAAGACCACUUGGCUUUCGUGCCUCAGUUUCUCUUGUGAGAACUAGAAAUGGUGAUGUUUCUCUGAAGUGCUGCAUGAAUCUAUGGGCAGAGAGCACUGCAGAAAAAUCAAAUCUUGUUGGUCACUAAAAUCUUGUAGACAAGUGUGAUGAGGCAGCAGUAGGAGCCAGUGGCAUAAUGCAGAGAUUUCUAAUUCCACUGGGUGGCAGCUGAGACUGAGCUUAGGUGAGGAAUAAUGCUUUCUCCUUUGGGUUGAAUGUAGUGGCUUUUUGCUAGAAGAAAACAGAUCCAGAACAAAGCCUACUGCAGGGUCCUGAUGCUGUAACCAUCUAAGAUGGCAAUUUUCUUUUUGUUUACAUUAUUUGAAUCCCCUAUUUCAAUACAGAUAAUAAAACAAGAUCUUUUGAACCCGAAACCCAUCAAACCUGCUGGGUUUGGAUUUAUAGUCAUUUAAAAUACAUUUAAAGGCUUAUAAACAAGAGUCAUAUCAGCCGAAGGCCACCCAUUUUUCAAUUGAUGUAUUUCCUAUUGCAAUCUGUUUGAAAGCCAGGCCAUGAGAAAUCAUGUCUCAAAACUGUGUUUGUUGAGGAGGCAGAUAAGCAAACAAACACCUUCUGUUGUGCAGAGCAGAUCAUAUUGCCUGCAGCCACCUUCUCCCAGCUGUGUCAAGCUCUGGCAGAAACCAGCCAUUGUAUAAAGAGUCACUGGGCCUGAAAUGCCAUUCUGGCAAUCCUGCAGUGCUGCUAACAGAGUGUUGUGGUGGGCACUGGCCUGAAGGUACAAUUCGGAGCCCUGUGCUGUAAGGGAGGGCACUACACUUUAUCCUGUGCCACCUGGAAUUAUCUACAUCCUCCACCACUGCUGCCCCCAGCAUGAAACAAUCUUUCAGUGGUACCUCCCACUGUCCAUCUCCGUGCUGGUCCCCUAGGAAGGAUCUCUCUGGUGUCUGUUUCUUUCUUGGUGCUUUGUACUGUUAGGACCUAACAGAUGGAUACCAAGCAA